UUUUCCCGCGCUACCUACCGCAGUCGCAGUGGGAUGCAAUAUGUCAGCGGCAGACGGGUGAGUAACGCGGGGAAACGUACCUUUUGGUUCGGCACAACUGAGGGACACUUCGGCUAGUACCGGAUAAACCCCUACGGAGAAAGAUUUAUCGCCCAAAGAUCGGCCCGCCUCUGAUUAGCUAGUUGGGGAGGUAAUGACUCACCAAGGCGACCAUCAGUAGCUGGCCUGAGAGGAUGAUCUGCCACAUUGGGACUGACACACCGCCCAAACUCCUACGGAAGGCAGCACUGGGCAAUAUUGCACAAUGGGCGCCAGCCUGAUCCACCCAUGCCGCGUGAGUGAUGAAGGCCCUACGGUUGUAAAGCUCUUUUGUGCGUGAAGAUAAUGACCGUACCGCUAGAAUAAGCCCCGGCUAACUUCCUGCCAGCAGCCGCGGUAAUACCAAGGGAGCUAGCGAUGCUCGGAAUCACUGGGCGUAAAGGGUGCGUAGGCGGGUCUUUAAGUCCGGGGUGAAAUCCUGGAGCUCAACUCCAGAACUGCCUUUGAUACUGAACAUCUUGAGUUCCGGAGAGGUGAGUGCAACUGCCAGUGUACACCUGAAAUUCGUAGAUAUUCGCAAGAACACCAGUGGCGAAGGCGGCUCACUGGCCCCAUACUGACGCUGAUGCCCGAAAGCGUGGGGAGCAAACCGGAUUAUAUACCCUGCUAGUCCCCGCUGGAAACAAGGAAUGCCAGCCGUCUAUGAGUUUACUCUCUACUGGGGCAUCUUACGCAUUAAGCAUACUUUCUGGGGAAUACCGUCGCAAGAUUAAAA
rnacentral:rRNA from 1 species